rnacentral:lncRNA from 1 species
CUUCCCUCCACUCCAUCUUAGCCCCCAGGGAUGGACAUCCAGGGGAAGCAGCCCCACUUCCUGUGUCUACUCCUCAUGGACAUUGUGGGAGCUCCAUUUUCUUCAACAGAAGAUAUGAAUCAAGCAAUCUGAGGGCCUAGAUGGGGAGAAAAGGGCCCUGAAACAGGGAGAGAUGAAUGUAGCCACCAGCUCUCUGUUUUUUUCUUUAGAGGGGCAGGGAGUCAUUCAACCUAAGAAUUUUUCCUUGCUGUCUUGCAUAUCCCAACAGGCCUCCCUUCAUUCUUACAGUGUGACUGACCUAAAUUGAAAAUAUGAAGAGGACCCAUGGGCUAAAAGGCUAAUUUUUCAUUGUCGGUAUAUACUAAAUUUGUUUAUCCAUCAUCUGUCCAUUGACAGUUGGUUGCCUCCACCCUUUGACUAUUGUGAACAGUGCUGCUAUGAACAUGAGUGUGCAAAUAUACUUUCAAGAUCCUGGUUUCAAUUCUUUUGAGAUUACCCAGAAGUAGAAUCAGUGGAACAUACGGAAGAAGAUUAUGGGCAAGUACUGCAAGAACUGGCAACAGUCUCAUAUUAUGUGGACAACUCUACAAUGCAUGUUUGUUUGGGCUCUCCCUUUUCGCUGCUCCAAACUCCCUGUCCCUGACUUUUGCUUACUGGGUCCAGUCCCCAGUAGAGUAGCUGCUCUUAGGCUUUUGUCUUAGGAGAACUCAGGGGAACACGUGGCCUAUGCUCUGG